AUUUAGAGGGACUCUCUAACCUGAGUACACAUUUGAAACAUCUGAGGGCUUUGAAACAUACCUGCUCCUGGACCACCUGCUGAACCAAUUAAAUCAGAAUUUCUGUUGUGAAGAUCUCCACGUGAGUUUAAGCUUUCCUGCUCAACUGUUAGUUCCAUGAAGGCAACAGCCAUGCCUGCUUCGUUCACUGAAAUAUCUUCGUUUCCUAACACACAGAAAGUCAUCAUUUUUUGACGGAUGAAAGAAUGGAUGAAUGCCUAGUCUUGGAGACAUCUACUUGCAAUAAAGGUGAAGAAACAGAGGCAAAGGGAGCAUAAGCAAUUUUCCAAAGGCCAUACAACAUGCUAAAAGCUUCAUAGAAACCUAAAGGAGUUAGAGAAGGAAGAUCUCUCAAUGGAAAUGCUAAGAAGAGACACAAGGAAAGACACAUCACUAAGGAGAGACCCAAGGAAAAUGGCUCUAUGACUACAGUCCAUUUAAAGAAUGAGGGCGUUCCUUCUACCAAGUUACAGGUGGAGAUGUGUUUACCUGCUGGAUACCAAUGCUUCUAGCAUCAGGGAGAAGUUGAGCCCUGGAGGAAACAUUGCCUCUAAGUUUGUGUUCUGGUGCUACAUACUGCAAAGCAAAGUAUCUACAACAACUGCAAUAAGCCACCCUGAUCAUUCUUCAACCUAAAGAUUUGCAACUCAUCCAAGUUCAACUGGUUGAAAGAGCCUGCCUCCUCACAGCAGUGCCUGAUUGACACUAUGAACUGAAAUACUAAAGGCACUUCUUCUUUCAGGAUAACUGAUUAAAUGUUCUGGCUGGUAAAGCAGGUCAUCACUCAACUGUUGUGGCUUUGGCAAGAUGCCACCAAAGCAGCCCAUCAUGGUUGGCAGAGAUGUAAAGGCCCCACAUAUUACAGAACACCCUUUGAUAUGCAGACUAAUUAAUAGAAGACCUAAGCCUUUCAAGGGACUUCUAUACCAUAGGAUGUUAGGAGACAUCAAGAACACAAAUGAAACUAAGAUUUUCAUACAGGGUUCAGGUUUUGUUACUUCAGAUCUAUAAUCUAAAGUUCUGUAAUCAUCACAUCACUCCAAGAACAAAAUUUGAUAGGCAAAAUUCUUCACACUCAUUUCAUGGAGAACCUUGAGGGUCCAGAGUGAGGCUUGAUGGCAAGCAGGAGCUCCCUGUCCCCUGUCUCCACCCAUGCAACCCCUAGCUCCCCCAUUGUUUUCACUCUAGAUUUGUGAAGUAUAACAACCUUAAAAUCUUAAGAUUUAAUCUUUAAAUAUUAAGAGAUUUGGGUUUCUGUAUCAACAAUCUUUAAAUAUUAAGAGAUUUUUCCGAAGAUUAAUGACUUUCCUAGAGUUGGCCUACAAAUUCACCACCUCAACUGGAUGACUUGCUUUGGAAUAAAUUUCUAACACCGCAAGUGAAUUGAAUAUUUUCUUCCUUUUUUAUGUAAUCUAAUAUAGUACAUUUUUAAAAAUUUAUAGGAUGUCCAGACACUUAUAGCUUAUCAUUCUAUGAUUCAAAAGAAUUUGGUAUAAUUGCAUUGAUAAGCUUACUGCCCUGGGCACCAAAGUAACCUAGAAUAUGGAGAAGUAGCUUUUGGUGACAUGCAUCUAUUUAUAUCUCUAGCAUUUACUAAUUAAUUAAUUUGUUUAACAAAUACACAUUCAGUACCAUUAUAUGUUUGGCAUUGUCAUAGAUGUUAGAAAAUCAAAUAUAAAAAAGAGGUAAUUUCUUCACAACACACGGAAAUAAGAGUAUCUCUAGGAAUUGUCUCUAGUUGAAAUUGUUUUCUCCUACCCACCUCUACGAUUCAUCAAUUUAGCUUUCCUUCACUGUAGUGACAGGUGUUUUAAUCUCACCUAACAAUAUGCCUGAUUAAGCUUCAACAUACACAGAGAGAGGCCUGAAAAACAUAACUUGGUCUCUAUGUCUAAGUUUAUGUUGUUAGUAAUAGUUAUAAGAGCCACAGCGAUGGCACCAUGGCGUUACCUUCUCUGAAGGCUUUCCCAGCUUUCCUAGCAAAGCUCUUUUCUCUUCCCUCUGGUUAAAAAAUAAAUAAAAAAAAAAUAAAGGUUUUUCCUUUAUUGUUAUUCUUAUGUGUCUGAUUUUAUCACAUUUAUUGUUUUGUUUUCUGAUUGUAUAAGUCAUACAUGCUCAUUUAGAAAACUUGGAAACUAUGGAAAAAGAGAAAUAAAAAAUAAAAUCCACUCUAAUCUA
rnacentral:lncRNA from 1 species